CCUCGGGGCUGUAACACAAGCGGCUGCGGACUUGUACAAACAGCCUCAGUAUCCCCUGGGAACUUGAGACAUCUAAGGAGUUGACUGAGGCCCCUCCCUGACAUACUGAAGCGGAAUGUGCAUUUUAGCAAGAUCUGCACGCAUGUGUGGGCCAUUGCAGCCUGAAUUAAUCAGGACGGAAGAAGAGAUGCGAUGAUACCGGCCAGUGAUCCGUGGUGGGAGGUCUGGAAGAAUGCACACCCAAUGCUCAUAGAGGUUCCAUCUGGGAAAUCAGAUUGGACAGGGCCAGAAUAGAUCCAGGGGAAACAUUCACUGAAUACAUAUACUUAUGUAUUGUGGAAGUUUUGAUGGUGGUCAUGUACCAAGAAGGGAAAAAAUAGACUGCGGAACUGCCCAUGAGGCCAAGCACCUAUUAGUAGACCAAGAAGCAUCAUCCGUCCGUGACUUAAGCUGGCAGCCAGCUAUUGUUCUCAUCUGAGUCUGGGAGUUCAGGAUUUCCAUCCUGACCCGGCUACUUUCUUUCGACAGUUACCCACUGUAAAUUUCCGAAUACUUUCAGCUGCUAAUCCUGGUGUACCCAAUUAAAAAUGCCUUUCCUAA